rnacentral:rRNA from 1 species
UACGUAGGUGGCGAGCGUUGUCCGGAUUUACUGGGCGUAAAGGGAGCGUAGGCGGAUUUUUAAGUGAGAUGUGAAAUACUCGGGCUCAACUUGAGUGCUGCAUUUCAAACUGGAAGUCUAGAGUGCAGGAGAGGAGAAUGGAAUUCCUAGUGUAGCGGUGAAAUGCGUAGAGAUUAGGAAGAACACCAGUGGCGAAGGCGAUUCCCUGGACUGUAACUGACGCUGAGGCUCGAAAGCGUGGGGAGCAAACAGG